rnacentral:rRNA from 1 species
UAGGGAAUAUUGCGCAAUGGAGGAAACUCUGACGCAGCGACGCCGCGUGAGUGAUGAAGGCCUUCGGGUCGUAAAGCUCUGUCGCAGGGGAAUAACACAAUGAAGGUACCCUGUAAGAAAGGAUCGGCUAACUUCGUGCCAGCAGCCGCGGUAAGACGAGGGAUCCAAGCGUUGUUCGGAAUCAUUGGGCGUAAAGCGGGUGUAGGUGGCUUUGUAAGUCAGGUGUGAAAUCCCAGGGCUCAACCCUGGACGUGCAUUUGAUACUGCAGAGCUUGAGUGUGGGAGAGGUUACUAGAAUACCUGGUGUAGUGGUGAAAUACGUAGAUAUCAGGUGGAAUACCGGAGGCGAAGGCGGGUAACUGGCCUAACACUGACACUCAGACCCGAAAGCGUGGGGAUCAAACA